UACGUAUGUCACAAGCGUUAUCCGGAUUUAUUGGGCGUAAAGCGUGUCUAGGCGGCUAUGUAAGUCUGAUGUGAAAGUGCGGGGCUCAACUCCGUAUUGCGUUGGAAACUGUGUAGCUAGAGUAUCGGAGAGGUAAGCGGAACUACAAGUGUAGAGGUGAAAUUCGUAGAUAUUUGUAGGAAUGCCGAUGGGGAAGCCAGCUUACUGGACGAAUACUGACGCUAAAGCGCGAAAGCGUGGGUAGCAAACAGG
rnacentral:rRNA from 1 species